GAGAAAGCCUGCACCCUCCUCACAGAUCCUCCAAGAGGAAAACCUGAAAAUCAGGGAAUCCAGCCCUGCCUCCUGUCCCUGUUGGCCGGGUGUGACAGCAGCUACUGUGUCCUCCACGCGCACAUCACAGCAUCACCCUGAGCAGUGUCUGGCCCCUGCACCCCACUGUCCCACAGCCUCGUCUGUGGGAAGGUCACCCCUGUUCCAGGGCACUGUGCCUGAGCGGGGAGCACCAAGCCAGGGUUCAUGGCAGGGUCAACUGACUCACUCCACCCACCCCUUGACGCCGGGAGCUGGAAUCACCGCCCUCCAUCGCCUGUGUUUAUUAUCUCUGUGGGACCUUUGUGCCGGCUGGGAGCGGCGUGUUGACGUUUCUUGCGUGCCCAUGGUGACGGCGCAGUGUCACCGCUCCGGUGUCACCCUUGCCCACCGCACCCCUGCUCGACCGGGGCAGGGCCCCACUAUUUAACGGGUGCCCGACAGCCGGGAGAGCCGUGCUGGGGACAGGAAUCUCGAGUGCUGCCGGCAUUGCCUCUUCUGGGGACUUUUCUGCAGCUCGGAGACUACUGAGGAUGUGUGACCCCAACCAAGGCCUGCCACAACCAUACCUUGCAGUGUGCCCUCCUGCCCCUCCAGGAUACCCUGGUCCUGGCACAGGUCCCUACCCUGGUGGCAUUGCAGUUUGCCCUGCUGCCCCUCCGGGACACCCUGGUCCUGGCACAGGUCCCUGCCCUGGUGGUGUGGCAGUCUGCCCCCCUCACCCUGGUCCACCUGGCCAGCACCCUCACGGGCACCCCCCGUCAGGGCAUCAUCCCCACGGGCACCAGGAGCACCAUAAGAAGCAUGAUAAGAAGCACCAUAAGAAGAAGCACAGCAAACACCAUGGAGGCAAGCCCUCUGGUGGCUCCUGCAGCUCAAGCAGCUCAAGCAGCAGCUCUGACUCUGACUGAACAUCUGGCAUGUCUCACCUGCUCUGCGAUGAUCAGCAAAACAUGAAGCCAAACUCCUUAUGGGAAUUGUCUGCAUGUCGAUCCCCUCCCUCCCCCUUCCCCUUGGAGCAAUGUUUUGCCUGCUGAGUGAUUUUUCUUGUGUGUAGAUUGUAAAUCCUUUGACCCAGAAUCUCUGAGUCAAUGGACAUUUCCACCCUCUAUCUUUUGGGAGAGCCUGCUGAAAGUCAUCACAUGCUGUUUUCCAAUCUGCUGGUCUCCGUGUG
rnacentral:lncRNA from 1 species